rnacentral:tRNA from 1 species
UCCCUGGUGGCUCAGGUGGUAAAGAAUCUGCCUGCAAUGCUGGAGACCCGGGUUCGAUCCCUGGUUUGGGAA